GUGCUUGCUUCAGCAGCACAUAUACUAAAAUUGGAACAAUACAGAAAAGAUUUGCAUGGCCCCUGCACAAACAUGACAUGCAAAUUCGUGACGGGUUCCAUAUUUUU